rnacentral:rRNA from 1 species
UACGAAGGGAGCUAGCGUUGUUCGGAAUUACUGGGCGUAAAGGGCGCGUAGGCGGUCUUAUAAGUUUGGUGUGAAAGCCCUGGGCUUAACCUAGGAAUAGCAUUGGAUACUGUAAGACUUGAGACCGAGAGAGGAAAAUGGAAUUGCGAGUGUAGAGGUGAAAUUCGUAGAUAUUUGCAAGAACACCAGUGGCGAAGGCGAAUUUCUGGCUCGGUACUGACGCUAAGGCGCGAAAGCGUGGGGAGCAAACAG